rnacentral:lncRNA from 1 species
AUAGUCCUGCUGAUGGAAAAAGUUCAUUUCAGGUACAUUGUAUGUUCCAUAUUCUUGAAUUUAUAGCAUAGACGGUUUUCUUCUUGUCCUAUUUGCUAGAGGCCUAGUUCUUUAUUAGGAAACAGAACAAAAACAUAGGUGCUGUAUCAUGAUGCAUCCCGCGAUUGUAGCAACUAGGCGUUUCACUCUUUGCAUGCAUUUGCUUGCUCCUGAUGAUUUUAGCUUGUUAAGAAUAGUUGUAUUUGAUUGUAAUCCAUGGUCAAGAGGGAUGGAUAAUUCCUGGAAUUAUUUAGUUAGACUUUUCGGUGCGGCUUAUCUCCUUAUCCUCUCCAGCCUGAAGAGUAGAUUGAUUGGUAUAGUGGAUGUAUGACAAGAACUUUUUGUGGUCAUCUUGGCAGAAAAAUCUUUAGUACAUAGCAGUUCUGGUUUUCAACUAUAGUUUUCUUAUGAUACAAAAAGGUAAUAUUUCUCUUCUAGUUAUUUUAUUGGUCCUAAUUAUGGAGUCACCUUCUUUUGCAUGUCUCUUUGAUUAAUCUAUAGGUGAUAACGGAGUUAGUUUCAUUUAUGACAUGUUCUUUCUGAGAGAAGCUAUUUCAGUCUUUUGUGUGGAUAAUCUUGACUCUAGGUGUCGGUAUUUUUGUUCAUCAGUUUUCACUUUUUCUUACUGAAAUAAUAGAGUCUCAUGGCUUUUCUGAAGGCAAUAUUCUGACUCUCAGCUGUCUAACAUGUCCCAGAUUGAAAUGUCUGAAAUUCGUUCUCUGGUUACUGGUGCCACUUUAAGAAGUCUUGUGCUUAUAGAUGAAAUAUGUCGAGGAACAGAAACGGCCAAAGGGACAUGUAUUGCUGGAAGUGUUAUAGAAACCCUGGACGCAAUUGGUUGUUUGGGAAUUGUAUCAACCCACUUGCAUGGGAUUUUUGAUUUACCCCUGAAAACCAAGAGGACUGUGUAUAAAGCAAUGGGAACUGAGUAUGUUGACGAUCAAACAAUACCAACUUGGAAACUUAUUGAUGGGGUCUGUAAAGAGAGUCUAGCAUUUGAAACAGCUCAGAGAGAAGGAAUUCCAGAAAUAUUGAUUCGAAGAGCAGAAGAAUUGUAUAAUUCAGCUUAUGUGAAUCAGAUAUCAAAGAAGAAAGACCAAAUAAGACCUGUUUGUUCAGAUUUUGACCUCAAUAGCACAGAUAAAAUCUCUGACCAAUUAAAUGGUGCAAGACAAAUAGCUUUGGAUUCUAGCACAAAAUUAAUGCAGCGAAUGGGAAGUGCAAGUAAGAAACUUGAAGAUGCUAUCUCUCUUAUCUGUCACAAGAAGUUAAUCGAGCUGUGUAAAGUGAAAAAUGCGUCAGAAGUGGCAGCGGUGAAUUGUGUUCUCAUUGCUGCCAGGGAACAGCCAGCUCCAUCAACAAUUGGUGCUUCAAGUGUAUAUAUAAUGUUAAGACCUGACAAAAAGUUUUACAUUGGACAGGUACGUUUUUCCGUUCCUAAAGUGCAGCCAUAUGCUGUCGAAUCAAUUGUUUUAUGUGAUGUUAAAUUGUAUCAAGAUGCUUUACGAGUUGGAGGAAGCAUGCACAUUUGCAUCUCAUGAAGAAUUGAGCCCAUUUUGUUCUCAUAAAUUGUUUCGCUAUUUUUCAAGAAGUUUCUUUUCUUUGAAAUGCUUUUUCAAAUUUGUGGAGGUACUUGUGUUCAAAGAUGUUUUGAAAUGAAUGGUCCAACAGACAGAUGUCAUUUACUUAUCCAAAUGAAUCCUAUGGGCACAUCUGCAAAAGCUAGGAGUCCUUUUGGUUUUUGAACCUAUUACUUCAAUUUACAUACUAUAGCUUAACAUUCUUCUUUCUCUAUUAUUUGUACAGACUGAUGAUCUUGAGGGCCGAAUUCGUGCUCAUCGGUUGAAGGAGGGAAUGGAAAAUGCUUCUUUCCUAUAUUUCUUAGUCCCUGGCAAGAGCAUAGCCUGUCAACUGGAAACUCUUCUAAUAAACCAACUUCCUGAUUAUGGCUUUCCGCUAACAAACAUUGCUGAUGGUAAGCAUCGUAAUUUUGGCACGACUAGUCUCUCCCUGGAACCUUCAACCGCGCUUAGAUGAAUCCACUAUCAGCUUGUUGCGGAAGAGUUCAAGUUGGUGUAUAAAAAUUGUAUAUCAGAUGUGCAUUGUUAGACUGUUAGUUUUGGAGAAUUUUAUGCAAUGAGCAAUUCAACUUGCAGUGGCUGCAGCAAUUUUGGGUUAGUGUUAGCUUCUCCACCUGUGUAUAUAUAGCUCACCAUCACCUGUGAAAUUGAGGUGAAUUCUGAUGUAAGUUAAUAUUCCUAAUUUUUAUUUAGUUAUGACAUGCCAUUGUCAUUUUAUUUCCUUUUUGAAUGUCAACUAUACCCCAAUAAGAUUUUUUUUUUAUUUCUAUUUAAUUCAUUAUGUUUAGUUUGAGCAAAAUUCAUGGGUAUAUUUUAAAAGUUAUUUCUCUUAAUUACAGGGACGGAUCUAGUGCAAUAGGUACAAGUUCACGUGAACCCAGUAACUUGCUUAGACCCUGUUUUUUAAUUAAAAUAUUAAUUUUAUAAGAAUAUAUAGCUUGGAACUUAGUUCAUUGUUUGGUGUAUAUUAAUCUGACAUCGUGUAGGAACUCACAAACUUAAAAUUAUGCAUUCGCUUUUGCUUAUUUAUGCUUAUUUAUGCUUGGCUUUAUUAGCAACUUUUACUAAAUCAAGGCCCCCCCCCCCCCCCCCCCCCCCCAAUUUUCAUUCUUCAGAGUUUGGUUGCUAAAAAUCGCCUAUUCAACUGUUAGUUUCUUUUUUACCUCUCAUAUUUCACGAUUAAAGCAUCACGUAAUAGGUUAUAUCUAUUUACGUAAUUGUUCUUGUGAUGACAAAACAUUUUCAAUAUGAAGCACAGAUAUAUGUAAAAAAUUCUGAAAAUUUAACAAAUUUUAAAGUCAAACCUAUAUUCUAGAAGUGCAAUAGGCCGGGUGGCAAAAAUCUUGGAAGUCGAACCAGUAAAUUUAUAUUUGAAUUCGCAUGUUAGGACGAUCACAAAACAGAAGCUAAUAUGAAUGUAAUUGAGAUGUGCUGUUAAAAUGAUCAGAUGACACAAAAUACUUGCACUUAAAGUAUAUCAUUGGUUUUUCAUAUAUGGAUUAUGUAUAAAUAACUUUAUUGAUGUACAAAGUUAAUUCUUUGACCCAAAAUUAAGAUUCGAGUUCAACCAAUUAGAUUUAAAUAAAGUAGAGUCAAUCUUAGCUAAUAUUAAUAUUCAAAAGACAAAAUAACUGAUUUCGUAGUAGAUAAUAUGCAUGUUUGACCAAAUGGCAAUGAAUGCGGACAACACUAACAAUAUUCAAUGACCAAAAAGGUGAAAGAUAUCAUUAAAUAAUAAUAAACAACAAUGAAUGACAUUUAUGUAAAUAAGAACAUGCGAGUCACCCGAAAAAGGGGUGAGUUUUGUGGAUAUUCCUUAUUACAAUGAUGAUUGAUGAGUGUUCGAAUGUUCAAAUAGUUCUUGGGUCUGGUGGAAAAGUUAUGCAAGGAUCUUAGUAAAAAGGUAUUUCUCGUGUGCUUGCAAUAAAACAAGAUUCUCCCUAUAAAGUCAAUGUGUUUUCUUACAAAUAAAUAUCUUAUGUCCCAUAUCCUUUUGUCUCUUUCUAUUUAUAGGGAAAAUAUACCUAGAAUACCCUAAGGAGUCGUUUGGUUGGAAAUAGGUUAUCUCAGUAUUAAUUAUCCUGGGAUUAGUUAUCCCUGGAUUAGUUACAAUCCCGGGAUAACUAAUAUCGGGAUUAGUUAUACCGCAGUGUUGUCCCAACUAAAUAUGGUAUAAAUUCACUUAAAAUUUAGUCCAAGAAUUAAUUAUCCUGUAUCCCUCAUACCAAACGAGCCCUAAUAGUACAUGUCUAGAGAAUAUCUACUAGAAUAUUUGUCGUAAAACUAGCCGUUAUUCACUCUAUCUACGGUGAGUGCUCAACCUCGACUCUGAUCUUCGCUAACACUUCGAUCUCGAUCUCUGCCGACUCUUCGACCUUGGUCUUCAACAGCUUCAUUGUCCCUGCCCUUCACUUUCUUAAAAGACCGCUUCGACGUCGGACAGGCCUUUCGAAACAUCAACCUUCUUCUCUGCAUUUUUCUUCUCUGAACCUCCUUUCCAUGUUUCGUUUCCCUACAUCAUUUCCCAUUCUCUCUCGUUUGUUUAUCACCUUGAAACAUGUCAAACUUACCAUCAGAUGCCGGUGAAGGGAGUCGCAUUGCUCCCUUGACAGUUGUGUUUCCCUCCCAUAAGGAGAGUGUUUCUGCCAUUGUUGAGGAUUAAGCAUUCCCGUCAGUGGAGGAAAUAAUCCCCCGUAAUCCCAACGUUAGUUCUGAUCUCACCCGAUCACUGGACGCUGCACCCGGGAUUUUCCUAUCGAUGACGAUGUCCAAAGAAUUGGCAUAAUUCAAGGCCAAAUUCGGUCCUCCAAAUCACGUCGAAUUGAUCUCGACCGUAGGGGACGUGGUACAGGUUCAUCGCCCUAAAUACUGUGCUCUAUACGCCUACCCCUUCCUUAUCGGUUAUUCUUUCCCCCUUCUUCCAUUGGUGGAAGAAUUUUGUCGUCACUACGGCUCUGCCCUACUCAGCUUGCGCCAUACAUCUACACGAUUAUUAGAAUGCCGACCAAAUUUGCCGAGAUGGUUGGGGUCGAACUGACACUGCAGAAUUUGGUGCAUCUAUUCUCCCCUAGCUUCUAUAGGGGAACGAUGUUGAACCUUCGCCACCGAGGAGGCAAAUGCUUGGUAGUAAAGACGUACGAUAAGGCCAGUCGUCAGUUCUGGCUCAAUUUCUUCUACGUCAGGACUGAGGACAUUAUGGCUAACAUCGAUGGCUUUCCUGAGGCUUGGAACUACACACGUAAGUCCCUAGUUUUUAUUUGCAUUCUUUUACUUGCUUGGUAUUAGUUGAAGGAUUUGUCUUUCCUUGCAGCCAACAACUAGCCUCCCUUUUUAGUCACGCGCAUUUCCGAUUGGAUCGUGCAAAUCCUCCCCCGUGUCAUAGGAAUCCACGACUGUCGAUCUUCUUCAAGAAGUUCAAACCGGCUCUUCCUUCGACAGGUAACUUGUUCUCUUUGGCCGUGGUCUUUUCACUUUUCGUUGUAUGUCGAUUCGUUCUACUAACUUCAAUGUUUGUCUCUUUCCCAGGCAGGGGGUCUUCUCGAAGGAGCCGGGCACAGAUGCCCUCUUUUCGGAGGAAGACUGUUGCACCUUCAGCUUCUGCCCCUGUUGCGACUACCGCACCUUCUGUACCGGCCCCUACCUUGGCUACCGCAAUCCAAGAGCCUGCCUUCGCUUAGUCCGUUGCUUCUGCUCCACAACUCUUUUCGCUGGUUGAUGAGGACAACAAUAUCUCCCAUAAAGAUAGUGGUCUAAUACCCCAUAAGAGAAGAGCCAUAGAUGCGGGAGGAGAAAGGCUAAUAGCCGUCGACUUAGAGGAGGGCGACUUCGCUCUUCGAGAAACGCCCGUAGUGCAUGUUAGGGAGAGCACUAGGAUGGACUCCGAGGCCUCGCACUUGGAGAAGAUGAAUGUGGAUGCAUCAGUGCGUCCUGCGAGGGAGACGAUCGAAUGGGGGAUUCCUGACGACAACCUCGCACUUUCGAGGUAAUAGAGGGCUUCGUCCUCUAGGGCUGCAGUGAUGUUCCCUCGUCUGCUGGUGACAGGGAAGACCAUUGCUGAGAAGGACGCUGGGUUUGACUCUCAUAUGGAUUUGGACGAGUUGAACAUGAUUGAUGAGGGGCUUACUCAACUUGAGGUGAGGUUGGAAAGAGGCUCCAGGACUAUUACGAUCCCAAUGGAUCAUAAUCUGCUUGUAAAUACCGAGGAGGUACUCCCUGCCCUCGGUCCACUUUGUCCUGAGAUUGAGGUUAUGACCCUCGAGACGAUACUAUGUCGAAUAAUAUUACCAGUCUCGCUCUCCGGGUAAGUACGACUAUUGUCUGUUCCUUUCGUUAUGCCUUAGUUUCUUUGCAAGUUCUAACACCUUUUCUUUGUUUUGUAGAUGGUUAUUCUGGAGAUUGAGAGUGCUCGGCGGGAGAGGAGACGUAAACAAAUUUACGUGAAGCUAAAAGAUAAGUAUACAACGUGCCUUAGAAAGUACUAGGAGCUGCGGUGUCGGUUUCGUGAAGGUGGCGAUAUGCGGGUCCUGAGGGAGGACUUAAAGAAGAGGGACGAAGAGCUGAUGCAUGCCGUUGAGAAAUGUAGCAUCCUUAAAGGGAUGUUGAGGAGAAAAGAGCAGGAGCUCGAGCUUAGUAGGGGCGUAGAGGCCCAAUGCAGCGAUCUCUAAGCCCAAGUGGUUUGGCUGCUAGGAGAACUUGAAGAGUGCCAGUUCAAGGCAGUGGCUCUCAGUGGCGAGCUCGCCGAGAAGCAGGAGGAGCUUGACAAGGCGGAGUCUUCUCGGUCGGAGGCUCAGAGGAGGGUGGAGUUCCUUGAUUUGGCGAACUGAACCCUUCGUUCUGAGCGAGAGAAUGACCUAUCGACGGUAAGGGCUAAAGAGAAACGGCUUGAUGAGAGGAUUGGGGAGUUGGAAAAAGAAACCUCCGAUCAUUAUGAUUGACUUGCUUCUCUGGAGGCCGAGAAGGCCCAACUUCUUGCACAACCUUAUUCGUCUAUUGCUUCUAGCUUCCGUACGUCCCCCGUGAGCUAUAUGAAGAAUGGAUUCAUGCCGAGGCCUGACUGGAUGUGCUUUGUGAGUUGCAUGCGAUGAGAUCUGUUUUUGGGGUGGCCUUUGGGGAUGCUUCGGUCAAGGCUCGUGAGGCUCAGAUUUCUUGUGUCUACGACCCUACUACGCCUCGCCCUGGUGAAGAAGAUAUAAUGAGGAAGAUGCUAUGGAUCAUCUUGAGGAAGAGGCCUGGUACAAUUAUAUUUACCCUUAAGGAGAGGAUGGAGAUGACUCUGAAUGUCGGGAUGGUGAUGGUGUCGACGGUCAGGGAGGCGAUAUUGUUGAGGGUCGGACCAGUGAGGAUACUAUGGGUCGUGAUGGCGAUGGCCAGUAGUUUAAGAAAAAAAUCAUUUUGUGUACUUUUAUCGGCGUCUUCAAGAGCCUUUGUAAGAAACUUUUGUCUAUGAAUAUCAAAUUUGAUUUUUGCUUUCAUCUGUGCCUUUCUUAUUUGCCGUGAUUUGUUUUUGUACUUGUAUGUUUUGGUCCUUCAUAUUUUUGUUGUCGUCCGCUAACUGAUCGUAGUCCUUGGGCUGAAUAGCCAUAGGAUAAAUCAUCCCUUUGUCUAUAUAGAUCGAGUAUGUCUCCUUAGUUGAGGAUCGAUAGGUUAAGUUUGAACUGUCGGACUUAAGCCUCUUGUUCGGUUGAAUUUAACCUUCUAUCGAGACGUGGCCGAGGGCCGGUAGGUGUUGUUUGAGCCUGGUCAAACUUAACCUUUUGUUAAACCACGGUCGAGGUCCGAUAAGUGUUAUUUGAGCUUGGUCGAAUCUGAGAUUUUUGAUAAGUUGUAGCCGAGGGCCGAUAGGAAUUUUUCAAACUUGAUCGAACUUAACCUUCAAUUAAAUCAUGGCCGAGGGCCGGUGGGUGUUGCUUGAACUUAACCUUUUAUUAAAUAGCGGCCGCAUGCCAAUAGGUGUUGUUCGAACUUGGUCGAACUUAACCUUUUAUUAGAUCGUGGCCGAAGGCUGAUAGGUGUUAUUCGAAAUUGGUCAAACUUAACCUUUUGUUAAGGCGAUUUUGAUAAACAUAAGUUUCUGUUACUUUGACAUUGUUGCUUUGAUUACAUAAUGGAGAAAGUUACAAACUUUGGGCAUUGGCCGGCGUCCCAGUCCCGGUCUAUCUAGUCCCUUCAUUGUCCAACUUUGAGAAUAUUGUGGAGUUGGGAAAUGAAAGGGAAACUAGUCCUCUCAUUGUCCAACUUUGAGAAUAUUGAGGAGUUGGGAAAUGAAAGGGAAACUAGUCCUCUCUUCGCAUACUUUGACUCGAAGUGUCCCUUUCGUCGCCUCAUUAAAAACCUCCUUGAGAAAACACUAAUGGGACAAAACUCAAGUGAGGGAAAAAGAGUACGACCCGGGGCGCUUCUUCCUUUUAGAAGUUGAAGUAUUUGAGGUGGCUGAUGUUCCAAUUGUUUGGUAAUUUUUUUCAUUCCAUUGUCUCUAGUUGGAACAAUCCCUUAUUUGCUUUGGCUGUAAUUUUGUACGGGCCGCCCCAGUUUGUUCCCAGUUUGCCUUCCCGUCGAUCUCUGCUUGCUUGGGUUUUGGCUUUGAGUACGUAGUCCCCAACUUUGAGCGCACAGACCUUUGCCUUCUUGUUGUAGUAAUGUUCCGCUUGCUCUUUUUAGGCGACCAUUCUUAUGUACACCAUAUCUCUUCAUUCGUUGAUCUCAUCAAGCUCUUGCUUUCUACUCUCGUCAUUAUUGGUGCCGAUUUAGUGGGAGUACCUUAGGCUAGGUUCUCCGACUUCGACUAGUAUCACUGCUUCGGUUCUGUAUACCAUAGAGUAAGGCGUCUCUCUAUGCUUGUAAUUGGGGUAGUUCUAUAUGCCCACAAUACUUUUGGGAGUAUUUCCGGCCAAAGUCCCUUGGCGCCUUCGAGCUUUUUCUUCAUGAUGUUUAAUAUGGACUUGUUGGAGGAUUCUGCCUGCCUGUUGUCACACCUCCUUUUUACUACACCCCGUAGAAGGGUAUAAAUACAAGGGAGUUUUUCCAAUUAAAGGACAAUCGAAACGGGAUUUGUUUAUUUAAGAUUCAGAGUCGCCACUUAGGAUAAUUUAUGGUGUCCCAAGUCACCGGUUUAAAAUCCCGAAUCGAGAAAGUUUGACUCUAUCCGGGUAAGGAAUUCUGUUAACCCGGGAGAAGGUAUUAGGCAUUCCCGAGUUCCGUGGUUCUAGCACGGUCGCUUUGAUCAUACUUGGCUUAUUAAAAUUAUCUAAUUACUGAUUUUAGAUCCUAUGUGCAUUUACCCUUUACUGCUUUUAAAUUAUUUGAUUAUUCGUAGUUAAAGAGUUGAGUUACGCGUACGUAUACUCUUUUCCUUUGGCGCGUCAAAAAUCAUGUCACGCGAACGUGUCCAUAAUUAAUAACGCUUUGUAUUAUUAAGAAAGUUUAGCCGAAGUUACACGAAUCCGAUUUAUUUUUAAAGAAAUCGCAACCGUGUCACGCGAACGUGUCCACAACCACGAUAAUAUUUUAAAUAACCCUAAAGGUUCCUCUACGAAUAUUUAUCUUAUUGUCUAAUUAAACAUGUGGGGCCAUAAGCCAUAUUCUAUUCUAACAUGGUACACAUCGUAUGCCUUAAUCAGCGAAAUCUGAUUAUCUAAGAAAAUUAUUGCUACUUUUGGACUGAAAAUUUGGACCAACUCUAGACUAAAAGACCGAACAGAUGGCAUGAUGAUUAGAGGAUAAAGUGAAAGAGCCUUGGGCUCGAACGAACUGGCUCAACGUGUGAAGAAGGGUGGCUGAUCUUCACUCCAGGCCUAACAUGAGCCUAGACCCUUGGAGGAUCGAGCGUUGAGGAGUGCUGGACUCGAGGUCGAGUCCCUGAGCACGCGGGAUAUCAGAUUAUGGCGGAACGGGCAUGAGCCCAAUUUUAUUAGUAAAAGGGGAUGUCGCGCAAGCAGACUUGGACUGGCUUUAAUUUUAGCAAUUGGGCCAAUAUUAGGCCCAAGUCUAAAACCCUCCUCUAUGCACAAUUAGCUACUUGUAAUUCCAUUAACACUUCAUGAAACAUGGAAUGGAGUUAACCUUCUACUUCUGCAUCUCAAUUAUUCAAGAACAUGAUGACUAACUAACCAUUACGAAAUUGCAAUACCAUUUCCAGCUAAAAUGCCCAAUGCACAAUUAGUCACUUGCAAUUUAAUUAAGAACCGAUAUGAAAUGUGAAAUGAGAUAAACAUUCCAAGUUUGCAAACAACAAAUCCUACUUAAACAUGCUCGCAAUCAACACCAAAGUAAAGUGGUAUUCGCCGCUAUUCCAAAAGUAUUCUGAACUAUUCCCUUCCCUUCAAACAUGACCUCAAUACCCCAUUUAACCAAAAAUACAUUCAGUUGACUCAUAGCAUUAUCCAGACACAACUAACAUGAUAUCCAAAACUUAAAUGAACUACAUAUCAGUCUGAAUCACUCUAGAGCUUUUAUAUCCAAACAACAGUCAGUUUCAGCCUUUGAAACAGGCUGACAACAACUUUAAUUAAGAUUCCGAACAAAAGAAUACAAGAUAUAACCAAGCUGGGUUAGACCUACUGUUAAUCAAACAUUCGUAAUAGUCCAGAAUUAUGAUAAAGUUCAGUCAUACAAUACCAAGCCUUUAACUAUGAGACAUUUAACAGGAAAGUGAGUCUCUUGCUAAUUCUAAACCAAAUUCAACCCUCAAAAGAUACUAUCACCAAAGAGGAAAUCAUGCACCAAUAACUCAUGAUUCUAAAGAGAAAUAAAGCUACAUUACGACAAAGAACAGGUUGAUGUUAAGCUCCCAAUCUCCAGAUUUCCAUAUCAAACUUGAAGCAAGUUUUACAUUAGGUAGAAUCAAAGAAUAUAUACCUGGAAAUUGAAAAGGAAAAGAGGUGAAGAAGCAGUAGAUAACGGUAGAACAAAAGCACAGCAGUAUCAAUGCAACAAUAACCUCACAGCAGCUUGAAACCCAGAAAACCCAAAAACCAAACCUUCUCCCAACCCAGGUGCACGAUGUGAAACUUUCAAAGAUUAACUAAUGAAGAAGAUCAGAAAUCCCCAGCUGAUACAGAAUUUGAUCAGUUUUUAUCCAAGAAAUAUGCUGGAAAUCAGUGCAGUUAUAGAAUUUUCAGCCAUUUUUGUUCUCUCAGAAUUUGUUUUCUCUUUCAAGUCUCU